rnacentral:sRNA from 1 species
AUCUGUUGAACUAUUCAGGUCCCACGCACCUACCUGGGUAUGUUAGUGGGCUCACUGUGUGCUCUGAUGGGUGUGCUGACCAUCGCCUUGCCUGUUCCGGUCAUUGUGUCGAAC